rnacentral:rRNA from 1 species
AACGAACGCUGGCGGCAUGCCUAACACAUGCAAGUCGAACGAGAUCUUCGGGUCUAGUGGCGCACGGGUGCGUAACGCGUGGGAAUCUGCCCUUUGGUUCGGAAUAACAGUUGGAAACGACUGCUAAUACCGGAUGAUGACGAAAGUCCAAAGAUUUAUCGCCAGAGGAUGAGCCCGCGUAGGAUUAGCUAGUUGGUGUGGUAAAGGCGCACCAAGGCGACGAUCCUUAGCUGGUCUGAGAGGAUGAUCAGCCACACUGGGACUAGGACACGGCCCAGAUUCUUGCGGGAGGCAGCAGUGGGGAAUAUUGGACAAUGGGCGAACGCCUGAUCCAGCAAGGCCGCGGGAGUGAUGAAGGCCUUAAGGUUGUAAAGCUCUUUUACCCGGGAUGAUAAUGACAGUACCGGGAGAAUGAGCUCCGGCUAAGUCCGUGCCAGCCGCCGCCGUAA